rnacentral:lncRNA from 1 species
AUGGCGGCACAUCACAGAUCACUGGACAAUAGCCAAACAAGCUCAAGUCAUUAAUGUUUGAAAUUUUCAAUAUAUUUCAUGUUUUUUAAAUAUGAAUCCAUUACUAUGCAUGCUUAAACAAAUCCAGUCAUUAACCAAAGAAAUCAUAACAGCAAUGAUCUUUACAGCUAACAAGAGAAAAUAAGAUACUAAAUUAGCAAUAGUGUCCAGUAUAGUUCCAGAAGCUGUAUUAGAUUGCUCAUGAAUCUUGGCAGCAAAGUGUAAAGUAGUACAAAAUUUCUCAUUUUUUCCACUUUAUAUAUACGUGCAUCGAAUAUGAAGACUUUAAUCAGUUCCAAAAAAGAGAGUUCUUUUUCUUAACAUCAAAAGCUGGAAAAAAGAUAGAAUAACUUGACUUUGUAACAUAUAUGGUUAAACUUCUACGUUAGAUCUAUUGUAUACUUAAACUUCAUUGUUAUAAAGUAAACAUAUUAUGGUGAUAAACAUACCCAAAAAUACUCUAAAUAUAUGAGUCACAUUCUACG